rfam:Chloroflexi bacterium RBG_16_69_14 RBG_16_scaffold_12158, whole genome shotgun sequence.
UCGGUACGCGGGAGGCUCUGAAGCGCGGCCCACACUCUGGCCGCCGGGACCGCGCCGAGCCACUGGCGAGACCGCCCCGCUCCUGA